UGAGAGCCAAGGGAAACUCAAGUGAUGGUGUUUGUUUAGAAUUAGAAUCGAUUUUCAUUUUUACAUAACACCUUUCGUUUUCAAGACUCCCGGAGCACUCCACGCAGCAAUGAGUUCAGCCGCAGCAUCGCUUAAGACAAGUGCAACCGUCAUUAUGCUCCCUGUAAUAGCUCGCAGGCUUGGAAAUUAGAAAUCAAGGGAGAAAGGUGGAGAGACAGAUAAAGAGGCAGCAAGGGACUGGAGAGGAGCUGAGGGAGCAGUCAGGAAAGCCAGGUAGGAGAUCUGGAGGAGCUGGUGAGCAAGGGGGAAGAGAGACAAAGACCGUGGGGCUCAUGGGUCAGGCUUCUGGCUCUUCCUUUGUUUGGGAAUGUGUUCCAGGGAGCUAUUAUUUCCAUCUCUCAGGACAGCCAGUGGCAUCUCAGCUUCACACUGAAGGACGAGGACAGGACAGACUUUGCACAGAGGCCCCACAAGCAUCAUGUACCAGGAGCGUAGGAUCUGGCAUCAGGAAGCCUGGGACUCACUUUCCAGCCCCAAGUCUGGCUAGGUGGCCCGGGUGACUUGCUUGGCAUCUCUGGGCUCACAGGGCUUGUAAGAUCUACCCCCAAAAUAGUAGAAGACAGGGUGCUCAAGAAGAUUUGAGGUACAAGCAGCACUCAGGGGACAUUGAGGAUGUUCUCUCCUCAGCUUCCUCCCAAUCAUGAACACAAUAUAAGCAGUCCCUGCUAGACCCCAGGUCACCUAGCAACUAAAUACCCCCUGCCAAAUGACUCAUGGGUGGUAAAGUCCCUGAUCUCAUUUGAAAAACAGGAACUAACACAGCCAGAACAAUAAUGUGACCAAACCCUAUGAUCCCUCUUCUCAGCCUCAUGAUACUACCAAGAGUCUAGUGAUACCAUUCCCACCCCUCAGUAAGGAAAUCAGGCUUCAAGGAGGCUGGAGUCCUCCAAGCCUCCCUUCUGGCCUCAAAUCUACCAGGCCAGGCUGCAUCCUGCUGACUGGCUGGCUGGGGACCAACUGCUUCACCCCAUUUCAUGAUGCCUCAUGAAGUGACCAGAGAUCCUCUAGAAAACAGAGGCCACCAACUCUUCUUGGCCACCAAAGAAAUUCUGGCUGAGAGUAUAUUCAACUGCCCAUAUUGACUGAGCACUCAUCAGAGAUCUCAAGACUGGAAACUUGGUUGGAGGGCUUUGGAGAAGCCCCAGGAGGCAUCCACAGAAAGGAGAAACUAUAUUAUCCGUGGAGGCGCAUCCCUGAAAUCCAAGCAGUGGAGAGGCAGAGACAGGGCUCACGUUUGGACAUUUGAUGCUGCUUUGAAGAUGGGAGGACCUUUGGAAGAUGGUAUCUACAUAAGAAGGCGGGUCUCUGGUGAGGGGCCCAACUUGGAGGUUUUUAUCCCAGCCCCACUUGCUGACCCACUCAGAUGUGAACAAGCAGCCUCACGCUCCUGCCACCACAGCUGAGAGCUGCGCCCAUCACUGUGCCUUCCCCGCAGAGAUGGACUGCAUCCUCAGAGUGUGAGCUCAAAUAAAGCCUUCCUCCCUGGAGUUGCUUCUUUUCAGGUAUUUGGCCACAGCAAUGGGAACAAUAGUUCAUAGAGUCCCCUUUCAUCCUGCACCUCCACCCACCCCACUGCAGGACCAUCCAAGCUUGAAUUGGGGACUCCAUUUGGGGAGACACUGGGUCACCUCCUGCCUUGACCUCUGCCCUUCUGAUACUUCAUCAUCCAACAAGCAUCAUGAUGAUAGCUAAUCUACCUCAGAGAGGGUGGCUGCAAAAUUCCAGUGGGAGCGCCAAGCAUGCAAAAUACCCCACACUCUGCAUAGCAGCCGGCACAGCGAAGUUUGUUUACUGUGACUAUUUUUACUUUUCAUGUCUGAAGCCCCCUACCCAACACAAUGCCUCGCAUAAUGAAGUGGAUGCCCCCACGAGGCAAACACCCGUGUGGCAUGCAGGACUCCUUGUAAUCACACCAAUGGAAUGGAAUGAUCCCGGAGGAGCAGUUCCCAGGAACUCCAGCUCUCUGAGAUGCACUGUGAGAACAGCACUGUGGAGCCCAGUGGGCUUUGAUCUGAAGGCACCUGAGCAAGCUGAAGGCUCUGAGAAGUCCUGUAACAAGGGAGACUAUUAGACUAGCUCUCCAGCACACCUUCGUGGUUCUCUAUCUAUGGGGUCCUGUUACCAUCAACAGCCUCCAAGGGACCCUACCAAGUUCACACCAGCUAGAAAUGGUUAUUACUCAAAGGUCUGGAGGUUUCUUUAGCUGACGAAUAAGAGUGUGGUCUGUCUGCCUGUCUAUCCUGGGAGAUGCUUCAAGGACCCGACAAAGAGUCUCCCCACCCUGUCUUCUUUUCCAUGUGUAUUAUCUUCUUUGCUGUGCACGUGGAUAAAGGUCUGUCUUUAAGGCCUCCCUCUGGGCCAGAGAAUGUGCUGUUAUGGUGACUGGGCCCUAGCUCCUCAUUGAAUUCAGGGUCACCCAUUUGGGCUCCACCCUAUGGCCCCUGCAGAUGACCAAGCAAAGCCUCUACCUGCUCUGUGCUCUCCUGGACAGCGUCUUCCUUGUGGUGCUGGUUAGUUUUAAAUAUCAACUUGCCACAACCAGCAUAGCUUGGGAAGAGGGAGUCAACUGAGGCAUUUCCUGGACGGGGUUGGCCUGUGGGAUAGUUGUAGAGGAUUGUCUUGACUGUUGCUGUGGGAAGACUUGGCCCGUUGUGAGUGGCAUCAUUCCCUAAGUUUGGAUCCCAUACUAGACAAAAGUAGAGAAACCUAGCUGAUAGUUAAGCAGCAGGCAAGCAAGGAUCCAUGUGUCUAUUCUCCCUCUGCUGUGGCUGUGGAUGAGACGCUUUAAGUUCCUGCCUUGACUUUCCAGCAAUGGUGAACUGUUCACUUGGAACUGCGAGCCUAAUAAACCAUUUCCUCUCCUAAGUGUCCUCUUUUGUCAGGGUGAUUGUCACAGCAGCAGACAGAAAGGUAGGUCACUACUGGUUUCCAGAAAGAGAAAAUGAAGUCCAUAGCAGAUGUUCAAAGGGCAAGGACUGAGCCACAGGUUCAGGUGCAGCUGAGAGCCCUUGCCAGAAGUCAAGACCGUCCUCAGCACAGGGCUCACAGCUCUCCCACAAGAAGGUCCCUGGGUGGUAAGGACCAAUCAGACACCCUCACUCCAACCUCCUUCGCUCAGCCUCAGUCUUCGUGAGGAUGGAAAGUGUGCUCAUGUCCUCAGUCCUGGAGGAACGGUGGAGAGAAAAAAAAAACACUUGAAAAUGGUACAGGUUCCCUGGCAACUCCUGCGUGACUGGGUCGUCGCUUUUUGGGUGUAUAUGAGUGUGAUCCCGGCAAGAGGCUCAAGUGUCCCUGAAGGGCGACAGCAAGGCUGAAGACUGGAGCCCUGGAAGCUGCUGUCCAUGCUUCACCACUCUGGUUCUCCCCUAGUCUUACACACGUUUGCUGUGUCAGCAUCUUGAGUGGCUGCCAGGGAAAGGUAGCAACUACGUUGAAAAGGAUGAGGCUAACCUGGAGAGGGCAGGCAUACCACAGCAGAAGCAGCACUGUAGGUCCCAAAGGCUACCUGCCUUCUCUGACUCCAGGCAGCAUCCCCUCACCUGGGCUUCUAUCCUGGUAUGUACUUCUCAGACUCUCAUUACUUGGCCUCCUGCUUAUGAAGUCCCUGUGGCCACUACUAAGGAUCAUCAAAGAACACCUCUCCAUCUUCAGGUCCUUCAGGGACUCUCUUUUGCUGAGUAAGGUAACAUGUUCACGGGCUUUGUGGUUAAAGUAGUGGUGGGGAUCUUAUUCUUCUGACCACAAUGGACAGGGCCAGAGCAAUGCUGGAUCCCUUCUGCUAAUCAAGGUCUGCUCUUCUCUUUGCUGUCCACCACAUUGACAGAUCUCUCACUGUCCUCUACUUUCCCAGUAAUCCACAGAACGGGGCCCCUUAGACUUGGAUGGAGCCAUGUGAUUGGUCUGGCCAAUGAGUUGUAAGCAGAACAAUCUGCCCUACUUCCUGGUGAAAACAUUGAGUUUUGAGUAUGAGGCCUUCCUGAGCCUUCUUUUGUCUCUACUUGGUGCACAGAUGACCAGUAUCUCUGUGGGCCAGGAUCAGAUACAGGAUGCCUGCCUACAUCUGAAUUUCAAGAAAACAUCCAGUUUUCACACGUGUUUAUCUGAAACUCAAGUGGAAUGGAGUGUCUAGUUUGCACUCGCUGAGUCUGACACAACCCAAGUGUGAAUGAGAGACGAGAUUCUGCUGUUGUAGUGACAUGGGCGGGGGGGGGGUGUUGUCUGUCACCAGGCAUAGACCUGUCCUUCCUUCCCGACGGCGGCCCUUGCUUAGGCAAGCAUCAGCACCAGACCAACAGCAGGGAAGCUCAGCCUCCCCAAGCCAAAGGACAAGUGGGGUUACGAUCCCAGGAAUACAGUUUCAUCCACAGAGCCCGUAGCAGCAUCGAUCAGCAGCUGAUUCAUUGGCUCCAGGUGCCCACAAUGCACCUACUACGUACGCCAGGCGACUAAAGUCUAGGUGCGGACAACUUGUCUGUCUUAAGCUCACUUAUCCAGAACCCAGACAGACCAGAGAGAUCCAGUCAGUGUUUGUAAUACCCAGCAAAACCCCAGGUAGGUGUUUCCAAGCUCCCUCCUUCAAGCAUGUGCAACGACAUUCAUUCCUGAUAAAUAUGUCAGUCACUGAGCAACAGAAUACCAGAUACCAUGUGUGCAGACAUCCUGGAGGGUGGAGGCCAGCCCAUGAGCUACCCAAAAUGGAGCCCAAGGACAGCUACUUUAGCCUUCCUUGGACCUGAUUAGAACUGUGACAUCUCUUGUCUCAACCCCUCUCUCCCUUCCCCGCCCCUAGAUCCUGCCCCAGACCUAUGGAGUCCAAAUCUGAGUUCUGGGAAGAUCCCCAGGUGGUCCAUUCAGAAGCAUCAAGUAGGAACAGUGAUCCUCAGAAUUGACUGCACUUUAGAGUAACUAGGAGACUCUCACACGUGUCCCCUGUCUGGCCCCAAACCAAAAGUAUCUGACUUAACUUAUCUGGGGCGGUUCCCAGCUGCGGGCAUAUUUUAAACAUCCAUGCAGUGAUUUCAAUGUGCAGCCAGGCUACAGAAAGCCUCUCCUCCAGGGGGCCAGGCUCAGCCUUUCCCAUAAGGAACACAACAGGUUUGCGAGGCUGAAGGUCACAUAACCAGAGCUAUGGAGAAAGAGGCAUCCCCAAGACGAAGGGCUUGAUAACUGGAUCCCCAUAAACAAGCAUACAUUCAUACAGCCUCAUUAACAUACAGUCACACGCUGUGUUUAUAACGAUAGAGUUGCCAAAAAAUGGGCGUCAGUAAAACAAACCGUAUUGUCACGAUGGUUAUUAUUAUUGUAACAAAACUUUAACAUUUCCUACCCCUCUGCCAAUGCAGUCACAAUGCAUAAUGCAUUUGCAAUUGCUUCCAGCUGUCUCCUGCUCUAUGAAUGGGGACACUUUGGUACACGCAGCUUUCAGACUGCCUCGUACAUUUGCAUGAGAACCUGCCAUCUUCCCAUUCAUGAGUAGAGGUACUCUGGGGAGUAGGAGGUGCAUGGUCUCAACCCUGAAGGAGAGCAUCCUCUUGAUCCAAGGUGGUCCACAAAGCUGCAUAACAAGCAGGUACAAGGCAAAGUUGAGUGUGUGUCUGUGGUAGUUUGAAUGCAAUUGGCCCCCAUAACCUCAUAGGCUGUGGCACUAUCGGGGGUGUGGCCUUGUUAGAGGAAGCGUGUCAUGGUGGGGGUGUGCUUUGAUGUCUCUUGCACAAGCUUCCCUCAGUGUGACAGACCACUUCCUGUUGCCUUCUGAUAAAGGUGCAGCCAGUAUCAUGUGCCUGUAUGCUGCCAUGCUCCCUGACAUGAUGAUAAUGGACUGAACCUCUGAAACUGUAAGCUGCCAUCUCAAUCACAUGUUUUUCUUCUAAGAGUUGCCAUGGUCAUGGUGUCUUUUCACAGCAAUAGAAACCCUAAGACAGUGUCAAACCUGAAGACCCAUUUCAAGAUCUUCUUAUGCCCCAAGUCCUGGUAAAGUGGAUAUGCUAUCUUUCCCUAUAUCCUUACCUACAGUAGAGAGGCCAUACUGACUAUGUCAAGUGACAGUCAUAAGAUCCAAAGGAAGCAAUGCUCAAAUAUAAGUUGUACAGAAGCAGAAAGGUCCUGUAGCAUAAGGGUACUGUGACAUGCCACCACAAAGACAGAGAAGCUGCUGUCUCUUAAACCUUUGUAUUUCCAUGUUUUCUAUGCAAAGUUGGAGGGAAAGAAGUCUGGGUGGGAUGGAUGGGUGGGCUGAUGAGAGGAUGGAUGAAUGGUAUGUGAAUAGACGGGACUGAUGCCUUCAUGUACGAAUGUUGAAUGUAUAGUUAAGUGAGAGAGAUGGGGAGAUGGUUUAAAGAGGUAAGCAAAGGGACAAUUAGCAGAUGAAUCAAUAGGAAAAUGGAUGGAUUGCUGGGUGCAUGAAUAGAUGAGGUGGGAUAAAUGUGUAGAUGGAGAGGUAUGUGAGUAGAUACCUGGGUGAAUAUAUGUGUAGAUGGUAGAUAGAUUGAGAUGGGUGGAUGGACAUAAUAGAAUUUUUUAAGGUUUAUAUUUAUUUUAUGUCUGUGAGUGUUUAGACUGCUUGUGUGUAUGUGCCCCACCUGUGUGCCUAGUACCUGCCGAGGUCAUAAAAGGAUGCCAGACGCCCUGGAAAUGGAGUUACAGGAGGUUGUGAGCUGCCAUGUGGGUGCUCUUCCAGAGGACCUGGGUUCUGCAGCCAGUGCUCUUAACCACUGAGCCAUCUCUCUAGCCCUGUAGCUAUAAAGAAUCUCAACACACAGCCCACAUCUCACAGCCCUAAGUCAACCGUUCCAAUGCUCACCUGGCGUCGUACAAGCAUUUAGUGUGGUCUGCAAGGCCUCUGUUGUCUCCAAAACUGUCAUUUCCACACUCACCUUUUCUCCCCCAUGCUUCACCCCCUUGGCUCCAUGCUGGUGCUCUCCCACCCCCAUCCCUCAGAUCUUACAGAUGGUGGCUGUGAACUACAUUCCCCUUAGGAUACCCCUUAAUCACCCUACCUGGCCACCAUCAUGUUAUCCUAAUCUACUAUGGGAAAUGUUAUUGUCCAUACUUUCCUGGAGACAUAACCUAGAUUCCAACUUGCCUGCUAGUCCACUGGGGAGAUUGCAAUUUGAGCCGGUGUCUUCUGACUCCCUGUCUACUCUUCUCUCUUCUCCAGUCAUCAGGGCUGGUCUAAACCAGAGGACAAUUUCCAUCUACAGCACAGAGGUGCUUACAGCGACGUGACCUGGAAAGCUGAGAAGUGCAGUUACUGAAUGCUACUUCUUAGCAUCCACACCACUCUGUUCACGCUUGACCCUUGCCUGUGCGGUGCCCUUCCUAGGCUAAGCUCCCAGCAAUGCCAAGCAUUAUGGCUUUAGAUUCAAGUCAAAGCCCUGGGAUCCCGUUCCAUCGUGAGCAUUAGCUGGUCAGAAGAGCCCAUUAAAGCAGGGCUUCUGCAAGGUCUAAAGCCUUGAAUGUUUUUAAUUUACCACACUUUUGCUCCAAAACCAUUGGCUUUUCUUUGAGUGUGGAGGGACCUAUGCUCUCAUUUCUGGAAACAAUGCUGUAAACAAUGUAUGUGGUUUCCUUAGGGUGUUUCCAGAACAUGAAGAUAGGUGUGAAAUUGCCCGUACUGAGAAUCUUCUGGGCUUUUUUUCUCCCCUUAAGCCUCUACAUUAUCUCAUCCACACCUAAUCUGACAGCAGCUCCCACAGCAACCCUCCUUUCUACGUCUUUUCAGAACCUUCAUCUCGAGUUGGCUCAAAGCAACUCACUUCUCACACUUCUCCCUUGGCUAACGUGAAAUGUGCGCUGUUCGGUUAAUUCAGUCCUUCGUAAGACUGGGCAGCUCAGAGCGAGGAGAACCAAGAACAAAUCAAGGGAUUCUUGGUAAAAUGGCAGAUCACCGGGUGAGGUGGGGGGACAAAUGUAGCAAAUAGCAGCCCAGCCAGAGGAGACCCAGACCCUGGGCAGCUUUUAGGGGGCUAAUAUAACAGAGAAGUGGACCCACAAAUUCAGUUGAGAACAGAUAAGAGAGCAGUGAUUAUAACUUAUUGGGGUGUGGGAAAGAACGCUGGCUUCCGACUUCUUUUAAUUCCACCACCAAAGUGCCAAAGUGGGGACCAGAAAGAGACUCACUGGUACAGUCUGGGUCUUCACGUCCACUCCAUGACUUCCUCCCCGUGUGACCUUGAACCAUCCAAAGUCAAAAUGGGAAUAUUAACAAUCUUUCCAAGCUCCUGAAGUGAGAGGGAUGUUACAGAGAAGGGGAGGAAGUGCCUGAUAGGUGCUAUUGUCUCCAUCCCUGACAUUGUCUGCACCUCCUUUAGUUUACUGAGUCCUGAGAGAUGCCUUGUCUCUGUCCUCACUUCCCUCCCACACUAAUAUUCCUGGAGUAUGCAGAUGUAGUUCAGUCUAUAAAGUCCUGGUUAUACAAGCAUGAGCACUAGCUUUUGACCCCAGCACCCACUUAAAAGAAAAAAAAUAAAUAAAUAAAGCCAGUUCGUAAAGCAGUAUGUGCCAGUAACUCCAGUACUGAGGAGGUGGAGACAGGAGAAAGCCAGGGCUGUGAUGGCCAACCAGUCCAGCUGACACAGAGAGCCCUGAAUUCAGUGAAAGAACCUGUCUCACUGGGAGAGUAAGGUGGGGAGCCGUGAAGGAAGACACCGAUGUUGACCUCUGACCUCCACAUGUGGUGGUUAGUGUCUUGUACAUAUGUGUUUCCCUUUUGUGAAAUAGAGCUUACAAACCCUUCAGAUCCUUAAAUCCUUAAAAAUCCUGAGACUUGCCAUUUCCCUUGCUUACAUUUGUUAGUUGUUUUUUUUCCUUUGAAUUUGAAGGAAAAUGAAAAAAAAUCACGUGCUUUUACAAGCAUGCACACGCACACACAUAUACAUACACAGAGAGACUCAUACACUCAAACACACACACACAGAGACUCUCACACAUUCACUCAGCACACACACACACACACACACACACACACACACACACACACACACACACACUGUUAGGACCCUCCGCUCUACACAAGCAGGAGGUCAGACUACAGCACCCUUUCUGGUUCAAGGCAACAUGCUUCAAUUUUAAUUGCAAAUCUCUGGGACUCUUCUAUGAAUUACAUUUGGUUUUUAAAGGCAGAGGAGUGCAGAAGUCAGGAGAUCAUUUACAGAAGACAUUUCCUAAUGCACAUAACCAGGUCUUAUGGUAAUCAAACCAAGGCUGCUCCAAACUGCUCAGAAAUCUGAGGUCAGCUCUAAAUCUCAGUGGUUCUGAUGUUUGCGGUUUGUAGAAUUCCUGAGCUGGAGUCCCACAGGAAAGCAGGCUCUUGGUGUUUUAUUUUGGCAGAAACAGAGAGGGGCUCAGCAAUUUGUCCAGUGAAAGAUGUUUGGUUGUAGCAAGUUGUAAUGAAAUAUGCAUAAUAUGUACUUAAUAGAAACCAACACCUCCACUGGAAAAAAGGGGACUGCUUCCAAAUCAAGAAGUGCAUGCCUGAAAUGCAAAGGAAAGGAAGUUACCUUCACUGCUUGUGUCUGUGUCUAAAAUGGUCUAAAAUCAAAGAAAAUGGUCACUGAUAGAGGGAGGAAAAAAAAACUUCAUCAGAUUUUAUCUUAAAUUGCUAGUGGCAUUUUCUGACUCAUGGGUGGGUUUGUGGUCCUGGAGAGGUGCCUAGACAUUGUAAUUCCCAAGAAUUAUAAUUAACAAGAAAAAAAAUCACUCAUUUAUUUACAUUCCCAUUUGAACAGCAGAUAAAUUAUUUGCUGAAAGCCCCUUAAUGAUUUCAAAGUACGUAAUUAUCUAGCACAUUGGUUCUACUUUCAGGGGGUAGAAACUAUUGCAAAAUGACCCCCCCCCAAAUAACCCUCUUCUCUGACAACUCUUACUAGACAUAUCUUUUAUGGCUUUUAAAAGUUAUAUUGGUUUUUUUUCAAUAUCAAAAUAUUUUAUGCAAAAUAUUUCAUUUUUAAAAAAAAUUCUCUCUCUCUCUUGGGAGAUCGUACGUGCGAUUGUUAAAGACACACUGCAGAUUGCAAUAAAUUCUGAAAUUAACACUGAAUAUAUUUUCAUAUUAUGUUUACAUAUGGGUAGGUUUUUUUUAGACUCCCUAUCUUUUUUAGAUUUAUGAGAUUCUCUACAAUAAGAUUUUGUGUGAGUAUAUUUAAAUUUCAUAUGUGUAUAUAUUUAUAUACACAGAGAACAAGAUUACAUACUUGCUUUAAUUUCUCCCAGUCUUAAAAGCUCAUAAAAUAUUUAAGCAGUUUCUGAACCAGAAUAGAAAUGCCUCAAACUGUUGUUUAAAAUGAUACCCAACCUUCACCUUCCCAUGCUAAUGAGCGGGGCAGCUGGAACCAGGAGGGGUAUCAAUCAAAGGAGUCGAUGCUUACCCUACUCUCUGCCCACCCCUCCCCCUCCUCAUCCUCUGACCUUACUCCAGCUGUUUAGCAAAUGACUCACUGGUCUCUCACUGCCUAUCAUCUCACCCUGAAACCUCUAGCCUAAAGGGUGGGAAGAGUGACUGUCUGGCCUACUGGCGCACAGCUGGAGGUCAGCAGAUUCAGAGGGUAACCUGGCUCCUUCCUUCCUUCCUUCAUUCAUUCAUCUAACAAACACUGACUGGGAACUUAGUACACAGGCAUGCCCUAGGGCCCAGGUCUAGGAUGAUGUACAGGUCCAAGGUUUUCUCUUCUCUUAUGGAAUCUGAGUCUCCAGAGAGGGUUGCUGACACACACAAGACGUUGGAAAUCACAGAGCCUCGAGAAAAACGUGUGCUACAGCGGCUAUCCCGACGCAGGGUCCCACUGUGCUCUUUGCUGUUGCUUGGAGUGAGCUAAGACUAUCACCCGCCAUGAGGUGACCCUUUUGCUCAGGAGAGCAGAUAGCAGAUUCAAACACAAAGGGCGCUAAGUUUGAGAAACAGCCCGUGUGGAGGCCCUGCUCGGAGAAGGGGCCUAGGAUACUGAGGCGAAGAGGUGGCCGGUGCCACCUAGAGCUCAGGCUCUGCUGGGAUGGACAUCGGAAAGAUGGGCAGAGACACUAUUGUGCCAAGGUAUUUUUUAUGUGACCCUUGUCGCUAUUGAAGGGCUAAAGUGACAUGGACUGGGUGGGGACAUAUCCCCCCCUCUGAUCCACAGAGAUUGUUUGGCCACCUGUGUAGACAUGGGGGACAUAAGUUAUCAAUUUAGAGGCCACUGGACCAUUGAAGAUGACAGAUGGUGGCUGUGGUAAUGUAAACGAGAAAUGUCCCCCACAGUCUCACAUAUUAGAACACUUGGUCCCUGUGGGUUGUGCUGUCUGGGGAAAUUGUAGAAGUUUUUAGGAUGUGGACCCUUCUGGAAGAAGUAGGUCUUAUGGGGUAGGGAUGGGCUUUGAGAGUUUAUAGCCAUAUCCCAUUGGAUCGUGGCAAAGGGGAAUCUUGAUGCGUGAAUCAAUUUCCAGACUUGAGUCAGUUUACAGACCUAGAACUCCUUGAAUGAAGAGACAUUCCCCUGAGGAAGGACCUUGACAAAAUAUCUAAAGGUUUUACUGUUAGCCUUUCCCAGUCCUUCCCCAGAGAGACCUACGGCCUUUUACAAAGGUAACAACAGUACACUGGGAGAAGGAAACAAUCAGACUUUCCAGGGUCUAUUAGAUACUGGGUCUGAAUUGAUGCUGAUUCUGGGAGACCCCAAGAAACACUGUGGCCCUCCAGUUAAAGUAGGGGCUGAUGGAGGUCAGGUGAUUAAGGGAGUUCUGGCUGAAGUCUGACUCACAGUAGGUCCAGUAGGUCCCUGAACUCACCCUGUGGUUAUUUUCCCAGUCCCAGAGUGCAUAAUUGGGAUAGAUAUACUUAGAAGUUGGCAGAAUUCUCACAUUGGGUCCCUGGCCUGUGGAAUGAGGGCUAUUAUGGUUGGAAAGACUAAAUGGCCUUUAUUAGAGUUGCCUCUGGCCGGGAAAAUAGUGAACCAAAAACAGUAUGGCAUCCCUGGAGGAACUGCAGAAACAGUGCCACCAUCAAGGACUUGAAAGAUGCAGGGGUGGCAGUUCCCAUCACAUCUCCCUUUAACUCUCCUAUCCAGUCCAGAAGUCAGAUGGAUUGUCAAAAAUGACAGCUGAUUAUCGAAAACUCAAUCAAAUAGUGAUUCCAAUUACAGCUGCUGUACCAGAUGUGGUAUUUGAGCAGAUUAACACAUCUCCUGGUACAUGCUACAUGGCUAUUGAUCUAGCAAGUACCUUUUUCUCAGUACCUGUCCAUAAAGACCACCAGAAGCAAUUUGCUUUCAGUUAGCAAGGCCUGCAGUAUACUUUUACCAUUUCAUCUCAAAGAUAUAUUAACUCUCUAGUCCUGUGUCAUAACUUAGUUAUAAGGGGUCUUGACCAUAUGUCCCUUCCACAAAAUAUCACAUUAGUUCACUAUAUUGAUGACUUUAUGAUGAUUGGACCAAGUGAUCAGGAGGUAGCAACCACUUUGGACUUGAUGGUAACACAUAUGUGCAUUAGAGGAUGGGAAAUAAAUCCAACCAAAAUUCAAGGACCUAGCUUUGAGUAGGGCCUGAAACAGAAGAAAGCUCUUCAACAGGUCCAGGCUGCUGGGCGGGCUGCUCUACCACUUGGACCAUAUGCUCCAGCAGACCAGAUGGUACUUGUGUAAGUAGAAGAUAGGGAGGCUGUUUGGAGCCUUUGGCAGGCCCCUACCCUAUAGGAUCACAGAAGAGACCUUUGGGAUUCUGGAGCAAGACUCUACCAUCACAUGCAGACAACUAUUCUCCCUUUGAGAGACAGUUCUUGACCUGCUACUGGGCCUCAGUGGAAACUAAAUGUUUGGCAAUGGGUCACCAAGUUAUCAUGUGACCUGAGCUGCCCAUCAUAAGCUGGGUGUUAUGUGUCCCACCAAGUCAUAAAGUAGGACGUGCACAGUAGCAACCCAUUAACAAAUGGAAGUGGUAUAUCUGUGAUUGGGCCUGGAGCAGGUCCUAAAGGCAAAAGAAAACCACAUGAAGAAGUUACCCAAAUGCCUAUGGUUUUUACUCCCGUUACAAAGCCGUCUGCCACCAAGCAUGCACCUAGAGCCUCAAAGGGUGUACCCUGUGACCAUUGACUGAGAACGAGAAGACCAGGGCAUAAUUUACUGAUGGUUCUGCACAUUAUGCAGGCACCACUCAGAAGUGGACAGCUGCAGCAUUACAACUCCUUCCUGGGACAACUCUGAAAGACAGCAGCAAAGGGAAACCUUCACAGUGAGCAGAACUUGGAGCAGUACACAUGGUAUUAGAGUCUGUUUGGAAGGAGAAGUGGCCAGAUGUGUGAUUAUUCACUGACUCAUGAGCUGUAGCCAAUGGGUUGACUGGAUGGUCAGAGACUAGGAAAGAGCAUGAUUGGAACAUUGGUGAGAAAGACGUCUGGGGAAGAAGUAUGUAAAUAAAUCUCUUCAAAUGGGUGAAGGAUUUGAGGACACCAUGUCCCAUGUAAAUGCUCAUCAAAAUGUGUCUUCAGAUGAGGAGUAAUAAUAAUCAGUUGUCCAAUAAUAAUAUUCAAAAUGUAAUAAUAAUCAAAAUGCCCAAUCAGAGAUAGGACAGUCAGACUCUUUCCCUAGCCAUUCAUAUCAUUGUCCGAUAGGCCCAUGAACAAAGUGGCCAUUGUUGCAGAACCAGAGUUAUCAAUUAGCUUGACAACAUGGGCUGACAGUCACCAAGGCUGACCUGGCUACAUCUGCUGCUGAGUGCCAGAUCUGCCAACAGCAGAGAUCAACACUGAGCCCCCAGACAUGGCACCAUUUCUCGGGUGACCAGUCAGCAAUCUGGUGGUGGGUUGAUUACCCUGGACCACUUCCUCCACGGAAGGGACAAUGCUUUGUCCUUACGGGAACAGACACUUAUUCUGGUUAUGGAUUUGCCUUUCUGUGUGUAAUGCUUCUGCCAAAGCCACCAUCUGUAGACUUACAGAAUGACUUAUCCACCAUCAUGGUAUUCCACACAGUAUGGCUUCAGACCAAGGAACUCACUUCACAGCCAGAGACGUGCGACACUGGGCCCAUGAUCAUGGAAUCCACUGUCUUACCAUGCUCCCUACCAUCCUGUAGCAGCCAGCCUGAUAGAAAGAUAGAAUGGCCUUUUAAAGACACAGACACAGUUACAGUGCCAUUUAGGUGGCAGCAGCCUGAAGGGCUGAGACAGGGUCCUCCAGAAGGUGGUAUAUGCAUGGGAUCAGCAUCCAGCAUAUGGUACAGUUUCUCCCAUAGUCAGGAUCGUGGGUCCAGGAAUGAAGGGUGGAAAAGGGAAUAGUUCCACUCACUGUCACCCUUAGGGACCCACUAAUGAAAUUUUCCUUCCUGUUCCUGUGACCUUACGUUAUGCUGGCCUAGAAGUUUGGGUUCCAGAGUGGGAAGUGUUCUCGCCAGAAGACACAACAAACAUUCCAUUGAACAAGAAGCUCAGACUUCCCUCUGGCCACUUUGGGCUUCUCAUGCCCUUAUAGGCUAAGAAAGAAAUAACAGUGUUAGGAUGGGUGAUUGAUCUGUAUUACCGAGGGGAAAUUGGAUUGCUUCUCCAUAAUAGAGGUAAGAAAGAAAAUGUCUGGAGUGCAGGAGAUCCUUUAGGGCAUCUCUUGGUGCUACCAUGCCCUGUGACUAAAGUCAACAAAAAACUGUAACAGCCUAAUCCAGGCAAGAUGAUAAAGGGCACAGACCUGUCAGGAAUGAAGGUGUGGGUCACUCCUCCCGAAAACGAGCCAAGACCUGCAGAGGUGCUUGCUGAUGGUGGAGGAAAUACAGAAUGGGUAGUAGAGAAAGGUAGUUAAAAAUACCAGCUAAAGCCAUGUGACAAUUGCAAAAACAUGGAUUAUAAUUGAGAUGCAUGUUUCUGUCAUAUUUUGUUAAGAAUCUAUUUGGACAGAUACUUGUGUUUUCUUUCCUCAACUUCUUUAUCAUGCAAUGUAAUGUCAAUUAAGAGAAUAUCAGUGGUUAUCAUAUUUAAGUUUGAGCUAAUAAAAGGAUGUCCUUCAAGGGCCAUUGCCACCUAUUCUAAAUUUGUAAUGUGUUUGUGGCUGUAUGAGGGAUAGUUAUAUCAUAUUAGCUGUAAUUAUGACCUGGUUAAAUAUAUAAUGCAUUUACUAUUAUGUGGGAUAGUUAUACCAUGUUAGGAAUAAUUAUGACCUGGUUAUUGUUUUCAUUUGAAAAUUAAACAUGACAUAAGGAAAUACAAUUGUGAGUCACGCUGACAAAGGAUGGACUUGUGAUGGCCAUUCUUGGUUGUCACCUUGGCUACAUCUGGGAUUAACUAAAAUCCAAAUGUCUGGGCACACCUGUGAGAGAUUUUUUUCUUAAAUAAGUCCUUUGAAAUGGGAAGACCCACUUCUGAUUCGAAUCUUUGAGGUGGAGAGAUUCUCCUUUAAUCUGGGCCACACAGUCUAUAUAAAGGACACGGAAGAAGGAGGCUUGCUCUUGCUCUUGCUAGUACAUCCAUUCCUUCACUGGCAUUAGAGCCUACUUCUUCAGGAUUACUGUAGAUCAGCUGAGACAUCCAUCGUGGACUGAACAACAUUCAUUGCAUUCUUGGACCUUCCUUGUUAGUAGAUAGCCAUUGUUGGACUAGCUGGACCACAGCCUGUAAGCCACUCUAAUAAAUCUCCUAUAGAUAUAUAGAUACAUUCUAUAAGUUCUGUUCCUCUUGAAAACCCUAAUGUCUCCCAAUCCCAAGUAACUCUAUCAGCUUCACAUCUGGGAUUGAAGACAUGUUUUCCCAGCUUCCUGCUUGGCUGUCUGUUGUCACGCCUCCCCUGCCAUCAUGGACUCUCCCUCUGGAACCAUAAGCCAAAAUAAACUCUUUUCUUCUGUAAAUUGCCUUGGUCAUGGUGUGUUAUCACAUCAAGACAAAGUAACUAAUACAGAAUUCUAAAGUGAGACUGGGAGAGUUGGGAAGAACCCUCUCUUUAGGAAAGGCCCCUUGGGCACAGAUAACCUCUGCUGUUGAUAAUUCAACACUCUUACAAGGCAGAAGAUAGUUGUGAUAUGUAUACUUCAUCGUUCACAUCUGUGAUGGGCUCAGUCAUGUCUCCACUAAAUCAAUGUGUUUAAGCAUCUCUGAAUAUGACUGUACAAUAGGCCUCCUUAUCUAGGGGUACGCAUUCCAGGACCCCUAGUAGAUUCCCAGCUUUCAUAGAACCCUACAUAUGCUAGGUUGCUUCCUAUACACACAUCCCUAUGAAAUUUAAUGUGCAAGUUAGACAUAGUACAAAAUGAGCAGUAGUAGUAAAAUAAAACAAGAGCAGUAUAUUAGAAUAGGUUAUUGUCAACAUCAUUACUGUAGUAUGUUUAGCCAGUAUUUAGUAAAAUGAGGUUUACUUGAACAUAACAUUGCAGUGUGCUAGCCAUCAGCUGGUUAAUCAAGAGAGCCCCUGAGUAACUAACAGGUGGGUAGCACGUACUACAUCGACACCUGGACAGAGACAAUACAAUCAUGAGAGUGUGCUGAUGGAGGCCUACGUAUCCAGAGUGCAGGCAACUGGAUUUCCUUAGUCAGCAAUGAAAAUGCCAAAUAAGUCUGCCCCUGGGAAUUGGGUGACAAGUCAUCUGGCAUUGCUGUAGACAAAAAUAUUAACUAGAAGGAACUACAAGGACAGCCUGGCAUGACUCCAAGCCUUGAGGAAGACCCCAAGGUAGCACAGUAAUCACCCUGACACAGAAACUUUGCAGAUGUGCCCAUCUGUUCCAGUGGACAGAGGUCUGAGUGGAGAAUAUGGGAUGGGCACCAAUGACUAAGACACAACUGUGCUCUCAUAUUUUGUUCUCCUUCCCAUCCCUCCAUGCAGCCAUCAUUUCUCUGGCCCUUCUGCUGCUCAGAUUACACUGCAGCAAUCGGACACCUCCCCCUAAAGUCACCUCGGGCUUAUCCUUUACCAAGCAUCAUAUUUGGUUUGGGUUUUUUAUUGCAGGUGAAAACUUACAUGCAAUAAAAAGAAUAAACCUUUAAGGAGUGUUAAAUGGUCCACUGAAGUUCAAUUACCAAACAAUAAAGAACAUGUGUAAAUAUUCACCAUGAUACAUUUUUAUAUGGGCACACGCUCAUGAGGCCACAUACCAUGGCCAGGAUGAUGACUCCCCACAGGGGCCACUUCCUCUCUGUACUCCCCUGGCAAUCAUUUAUCUGCUUUCGUCACUGUCGAUUAGUUUGUGUUUUCUAGAAUUUUAUGACGUGUGUUUGUGCUUUCUUUGGUAUGCUUUUCCCGUACACGUACCCAUCAGGCUAAAGAAAUGCAGCAUAUUGUUUUAAAGUUAAAAAUAUUUGAAUUUUUUGAGUUUUUUUUUAUUCUCAGUCUUUAUUAGUUCAUUAAGAACCUCACAUAAUGUGUUUUGAUUCCAUUCAUAUCUCUCAAUCCCUCCCAGACCCACCCCUUCCCACUUCCCUCACCCAUCCAACUUUUUCUCCUUGUAUAUUUUCAAACCCACCAAGUCUGAUUUGUUCUGUCCAUAUACUCCUGGGCACGCGACCUUCCACUGGAGUAUGGUUGACCUACCGGGGUCACAUCCUAGCAGCCAGCUGACUCUUCUGGCCCCAGCAGGCAUUAGCCAUCAUAACUUCUUAGCUAGGCGUGGAACUUCAUGCCUAACUCCCCUUCCACGCUCGGAUUUCGUCCCACUUGAGUUUGCACGCACCUUGUACAUGCUGUCACAAGCACUGUGAAGUCACACGUGCGCACACCUGCCCUGCUGGACCCAGAAAACCGUUUCCUUGCAGAGAAACAGCCCAGCACCUGGUCCUUACAGUCUUUUCAUCCUUUCUUCCACAAUAAUCCCUGUGCCUUAGGAUGAGGGGUGUGAUAAUGGCAUCCUGUUUACAGCUGAGAGCUCUGUGACCUCUCAUUCUCGGCAUCUUGACCAGCUGUGGGUCUCUGUGUUAAUCACCAUCUGAACUUCAAGUUCAAUGUAUCACUGUUUCAAAUCUGGAUACAGUGUAGCGAGUCAAAUAAACUCACAGAUGAAAUAUCAAAUUAUUUUGAAAUUGUUUUUAUAUAUACCACCAAUACCACAAUUGUAUGAUGACUUUUGUUUAAGCAUUCAAUUGUCUUAUGAAAGAGACUUAAAUCAUAAGCAACCUAUAACCGGCCUAUGUAAAUAUGAAAGUCCUUAUAGUUUCCUGAGCUACUCAGCCCUGUGGGCAGUUCCGGGCUUCCAUGUUCCCACCUGCCCCGCUUCUUCUCUGAGAACCCCCACUUCCCAGAUGCUAGAAGUGAGUGCCCAUAGCUCGCUGGUGCUCUGGCAAUUUUUUUAAAUUCUCUUUUUGUUUGUGUGUGUGAUUUUCAUUUGUGGUUUAGGGUUUGGGGGGAUUGUAGUUUUUAUUGCUAUGUCUUCAAAUUCUCUUGCCCUUUUCUUAUACAGAUGCCGAAUCUCACAUAGUAAUCUCAUUGAGCACAAUUGUGUCUUCAACAUUGUAGCUUUUAUCUUUCAUUUCCAGAGGGUCAGUUUGGGUCCUUGUAUACCUCCAUCAUUCCAUUGAACACCUUGGCUGUAUGAAAUAUAGCUAUAAUAAUUCCAUUUUAUUUUAUCUUAGUGGGGUGUGUGUGUGUGUGUGUGUGUGUGUGUGUGUGUGUGUGUAUGUGUGUGUGUUAUAUGUGUGGGAGUUGUAUGCAUAUUCUUGCCCAGGUGUAUAUGAUGGCCAGAAGUUGAUAUUAAAAUGCUCUUUUCAAUAACUCUGCACCUUGGUUUUUUUACUAAAAAAAAAUUGUAAUGAAAAUAUAAUUAUAUCUUUUACCCCCUUCCCUGUCCUCCAUCCUACCCCUCACAUGCCCAUGCCACUCUCUCAAACUGAUGGCCUCUCUUUGGUCAUUAUUAUCUUCUGGAUUCCUCAAACACCUGCCCACACAUGCCCAUGCACAUACAAAUGCAAAGAGUCUCCAGGCUCACAAAAGCAAAGCAAGAGCCCAGUUCCCUCCACUGUGUUUGCAAACACAGGUGUCACCGGUCACUCUGUGGAAGACCAUGGGACACACCUUCUAAACCCAUUCAUUCCAAAUCCUUUCAGCUUCCACCAAAGCAGAACGGACACUGUAAUGCAUCCCAGCGUGCUGUGAUUGGCUUUAACAAUCACCAGCACACCGCACCCUAGUUUGACUUACCCCCUCCUCUGUGCGUUUGCUGCUGAUUCUGAAGACUGGCACCCAAGCCUGGGCUCGUGCUAGGCAAGUGUUCUACCACUGAUUCCCAUGCCCAGACCUUGUUUCUUUGAGUCUCUGUCUCCUUGUAUAGGCUAGGCUUUCCUUUGACUCAUAAUCCUCAUCCUCUGGCUUUGAAUUUGUGAUGGAUUCCCCAGCCUCCACCUCCAGAGCGCUGGGAGUUCAGGUGUGCAUCACCAUGCCGGGCCCUGACCUCGUUUUAGCUAUGCUGUUUUAAAACAAAUCCCAGACGUCAUGUCAAUUUGGCCAUCUCUGCACUGCUGUUUGCACAGACUGGCUGGAGGUGCCUGCUUGGGGUCCUGAUUUGACUUUAAACAUAGGAACAUGAGUCUUAGUGAAACGUGGUCCAGACCCAACUUUGUCCAGAUUAGAGAUAUAAUUUUAACCCAACAGCUUUGUUCAGCUUUGUUUGAACGACAAGUGCUAUGUCUUGUUAAUGCUGCCCCAUAAAACCAAUUCUCAGCCUUGGUUUCUCCAAAUAGGAAGGAAAGCCGUAGACCCACAAAUUCUUAUUUAAAAAGCAUAUCCAAAAGCUCAUUUGAACACUGGGGCUUCCUUGCUUUGCUGUAAGAGUGGCUAAUGUUGCUACUCCUGGUGCCUCCAUACACAAUGGAAAUUUUUUCAUCUUAUAAGAUUUUUUCUUUUACUAAUUCUUUGAGAAUUUUCUAUAACGUGUUUUUAUCAUAUUCACUCCCUCUUGCCCAACCCACCCCAGAUCCACUCACCUUCCCCAUCCACCCAACUUUGGGCCUUUUUUAUUUUUUAAACCCACUGAGUCUCAUUUGCCCUGCCCAUAUACUCUUGGAUGAGUUCUCAUGCACAGGAGCAUGGUCAACUUACCAUUGGCUACAUCCUUAAAAAGAAACCGAUUCUCUCUCUCCCAGCAGCCACCAAAUGUCAACGGCUUUUUAGCAUGGGGAGGGGCUUCCUGCCUACUUCCCCUCUCCAUCUAGUGUGAGCUCUCCUGGGUCUUAUGGAGAAUUUAGAUGAUAGGAAGGGCAGAACAUUUCAUACUUAGUGUGAGUAGCACACUAAGAAGACUACAUCUCUCACAGUGUACACAACUGAAGACUUGACCAAAUGUCUCUCUUCCUAAUUGCAGAAAGUCAAAACCUCAGCCCAUUGGCCAGUGGUUGUCAUUGCUGUGUGUUAGGCUAGACAUGUGUGUUGUGGGUCUUAACGUUUUAUUUUAAUUGAUGCAUCAAAGCCGUGCACGUCAAUGGCUACUGUGCGUGUGUACAUGCGUAUGUACACUGUGUGAUGUUCAAAUCAGAUUCAAUGUAUCAAGCUCAGUAGUCACAGGUCAUUUUCUUCGCAGUGACAUUGAAUGAUGCGUCACUGCACCUCUGGCUUCUAUACACCCUAUCUCACAUUCUCGGGGGACACAACCCAAACUCUCCACAUAUCCCCAUAUUGAGAGAGGGUAUUAGAAUCAAUCUUGGUGAAGAACCUCCCAUUGCAGAGUAUCAUCUUCUGAGCAGUAUCCAGACAGUGUCCUGGAUGAGUGUCCAUCUUUCAAGCUCUCAGUCUCCUAGCCUGUGAAACAAUGUUGAAUAUAAAGAAAAGGAUUGUAUAUGUGUGGACACACCCUAUAAAGCAGUGGUUCUCAACCUCCCUGAUGCUGUGACUCUUCAAUACAAUUCCUCAUCUUGUGGUUACCUCCAACCAUAAUUUUGCUACUUCAUAACUGUAAUUUUGCCACUGUCAUAAAUCGUAAUGCAAAUGAUUUUGGAAAUAGAUGUUUGUCAAAGGGGUUAUGACACACAGGUUGGGAACCACUGCUCUAGAGGCUAAACGCUAAACAAUUGUGGAAGCUCUGUGUUCUGGUUGGGUUUUGUCAACUUGGUACAAAACCAGACAUAUCUGGAAAAAGGAAACCUCAGUUGAGAAGAUGCCCCCAUCAUAGGCUUGUGGGCAUGUCUAUGGGUAUUUUCAUGAUUAAUGAUUGACAUGCAAGAACACAUUCCACUGUGGGUACUACUGUGGGUAGGUGGUCCUGGGGUAUAUAAGAAAGUAGGCUGAGAAAGCCAUAAGGAGCAUGUAAGCAACAUUCCUCCAUGGCUUCUGCUUCAGUUCCUGCCUCCAGGUUCCUGGUCUUAAGUUCUUGCCCUGAUCUCCCUUCAUGAUGGAUUGUAAGCUGUAAGGUGAAGUAAACUUCCUACCUCACACUGCCUUUGAUCAAGCAAAUUAGGACAUUCUCUGUGAGAGAGGUACCUCUCAGAGCAACCAUGCAUGAGAAAGAAGCAGGAAGUCCUACAUCUGAUGUGCACAUGGCAAAGAGAAGUGACAGAUUUGGUGUGUGCCACUAAGCAGCAGUCCAGGAACUCAGGGCCUCAGCUGUGAAAGCUGCAUUUUCCACCUUUCAGGAGCCAUCAAAGAUGGUAUGCAAGUACCCGGGCAUGUAACUCUCUCCAGCUCAGUGCCUGGCACACAGUAGGUGAUCACCAGCCCAAUAGUGAAGAGGGGGGUCAAAAACAUUAGAUGGUAUAAAUGUUUAGCAGCCUUAAAAAGGAAGGUAUACUCAUGUCAUUUAUAUAAAACAUGUUGGCAGGAGAUAGGACUAGGUCACAAGCAGUCAUUUCAAAGCCAAAGAGAUUUGUAUGUAGGGACCGUGUCUGCAGCCAGGUUUCUCUGGUUCCACCUGGCUCUAAGGUCCCACAGUAACUUAUAAAAUCAUCACUCAAAUGCUUAUAUUAUUUACAAACUGGAUGGCCUAUGUCUCAAGCUUAUUGCUAGCUAGCUCUUAUAACUAAACUCAGCCCAUUUCUAGUCAUCUAUAUUUGUUAAAAUAAUGAUUAGUUUAUAUUCCAACAAUAUUUGUUAAAAUAAUGAUUAGUGUAUAUUCAUGGUGACUGUCCAGUGGUCAUCAUUAACUUAGAAAUGAGUGAAGAAGUGGGAAGGGGAGGGGAGAAUCCAGUUUAAUCAUCCAUCCUGAAGAAGAGGAAAGUUCCCAGUAAUGACAGGGUAUAAGCAAGCAGCAGCAUCACCUGGGAUAUGAGACACUUGGACUCGAGAACAAUAGCAUUCAAAGUGAUCAAAACAGGCUUGAGUGUGGCGCAGAUUUUAACCCUAAGCCAUGGGAAGUCUGGAGAUACAAGUAAUAAAAGGAAUCCCACUCCAUCUCAGAGGCCUCUCCUGUCUGCCUCAUGUGGUCCCUCUGCUCCAUUUGGGGACUUUAUGGUGUCCCCUGCAAGCCCAGCCUUGCACUUCCCUGCAGUCGUCUCUAUAUAACCUCUUGGAACCUGUGGUUAUUCACACAUUACCAAGGAGAUUGGUCUUCUGAAGUGGGAGCCACCUCUAUAAGGCUGUAAAUACCAAGCAAUUAGCCGUUUAAGUGCUGUAUUAUAAAUGUAUGCGGGGCACCUAGGUGGCCUCACAUAUUGGAGGAGGGCAACUCAAGAGAGGGGGACUGUUCAAGAUUGACUUUCUUUGAGAUAGUGAGGUGGGAGGGGUAGAAGGCCAUAAACAGUGAACCACCUUCCAGUCAGCAAAGCUGGACCUUGUUUUCAUUACCUUAUCCAUUCUCCAAACCCCUGGUUUGGUGCAGGUCCCUGUGUGGUAUAUGGUUAUCAGAAGUGUGUUGUUCAGACUCAGAGAGGAUAAGUAACGAAAAGGACUCUAGCGGGGACACAUGGGUCUCUCUGGGAAGGGGAAAUAGAUUUUAUAGGUGGACUAA